GCCUCUGAAGAAAGAAAAGCUUCAACCUUUGGUCGAACAAAAUUGAAAAAAGAUCAAAGCUUCAAUCUUUCGUCUGUAAUUUGAAGACUCUGGCCGAGCAUAGCAUCUUGAAUGCGGAUUUUUAUGGAUUCUUUUAGGCUUCUUCAACUUCAACUCUGUAAGUUGAGAACAUUUUUAUUGUUCGAUCUUGUAUUGAAUUGAAUUGGAUCGAAUCGAAACGAGUAAUGCCGGUCUUGAUCUUAGUCAAUUUAUCUAGCAUUUGACUCUCAUGUUGGUUAAGGGCUCUGAACACUAUUACAUAUUAUACAGAUUGUGCUAAAGCAUCUAUUGACUGUACAAAUCACAUGAUAGUAGUAAUGCAUGUGUCCCGGCUAAGAAGCCCUUUACAGCAAGUUUUAAAUUGAUAUCCCUCAUUUUGUUCAUUCAAUAAUGGUGCAAGCAACAUGAAUCAGAUGUCCAUUUAUAGUCCUUAGAAGAGUAUAAAAGGGUUUCAGACCAGAUGAUGGAAUGGGGUCAUUUGGUUGUCAAGGAUCAUCCUCUACCUACAGUUAAUGGCUGGAUUUUACUGAUUUGGGGACUUUAUCAGUUUGACUACAUGAAUGUUCAAGUGCAUGCUGAGGAUCAAACUUGAGGUUUUAGACGUCAUGAUAUCUCAAAUUCAGUUUUGUUAAUGUCCCAAAACUGAACAUCUUUGCUAUACAUCUUGGGAUCACAAGGUUUUUUUAAUCAGUGCCUUACAGCAAUCUAAGUAUGAAAAGAGUCAACAAAGAACAGCGGAAGUGGAUGCACCAUCAACGAUUCACCCACUCUAUUUAUCGGUGCAUCUUAUAUGCUUGUUUUUGAUGGGAGCCUCAACAGUUGGUGUAAAUGAUGAAUACACUAGUAUGGAUGAUAAAGUAGCAACAAUUCAUGGUUCACUUAGGAUCACUACUGUUUAUGCCAGUCUUCAAGAAUGGAGAUACUGUGAUCUGUCAAGCAUAUGGGACUGUUAAAGUAAGGGAAGAGGCCCUUCUUUGGCAAUAUUUGAAUGCAUAAAAAAAAACUGCUUGGUGUUCAGCAUGAUUUGCCACUUUUCCUUUAUUUCUGAGGGUGAUUUAUUUUCUAUUUAGUGAGCAUUGCUAUAAUUCCAUAGUGGACCCUAGAAGAUGACAAGGUGUUGAGUCUUUAUGUCAUAGUGGUGAAAAUGGGAUCCGUCAGUAAAAUUUCAGAUCCCAAGCCAUAUGAGUGAGAAUGACUUGGUUUAUUAAAAGUAAUGUUUGGAAAAUCUGGAGGGAGGGCUAAUGCUCAUUCUCAUGUAAAUUUGUAUCUUAUGGUUAUAAGUCAUGGGAAAGAGUUUAAAGUGGGUCUGUGUCAAUAUUGGUAGUGACUAGUCUUCCAAUUUCUGGAAUUCUAAGGACCUUCCUCCACAUUGUAUUGCAACAAGGCUUUUACCUUUGUCUUCACGAUCGCAUAGCUAAUGGGAUAUAAAGGAGCUAACAUCUAAUCCGUAUUAAGAUAUCUUCCUUGCAAGAAUGAAGUUGUGCAAAAGGAUACUGUUUCGCCAUGAUGGAGACAGAAUAUAGACGGUAGAGCAACAAGUUUGUACUCAGGCAAAGUAUGAUGGGUAGAAUUGAGAUUGCUGCUUUUGUCAAAGUUGCUGGGGUGGCUCGUAUGAGUAGUUAACAUUUCAUGGGAUCAAUCUUUGCUGUAGGAAACCCUUUUUAUGAACCAUAUGAUGCCGUCCUCUUUGAUGUUGCAGCUAGCUAUCCUGAAGCAUAAACAACACAGGCUGUUGAAGUGAAACCAGCCAUCUCAAGAAAUCUGUUGGAAAUUAAGGUAAGAAACCUUCUCUUUUGCACUGUCUCUCAGCCCCCGUCCCCGUAAAAUGCUGAUUUACUGUUCUUUGCUUGGAAUGGAUGAAUUUCAGUACUCCAUCCGGGGCAUCCUGAAGAACUUGUUUACUCACUUUUGUGCCACAUUUCCAGUCACUCGUUUUAUUUACUAUCAGUACCUGCUUUUGCAUGAAUUGGAGAGGGUGAACACUAACCAAAUGCCAUCUUUGAAUGGACAGAGUCAAUAAGACUCGAUUGGGAAAGCUAAAACCUCACACCAUUGUUGUCCUAGUCAUGUCAUGAAAUCUCACCAUCUUCAGUCAAAGGGAAUGAUAGAUCCUGUGAAGAUGCAUGUAUUCAGCUCUCAAUCAAUGCUGAAAAUGUAUGCAUUUCAAGAAAUUCCAGUGGGUUGAAAGAGAAGUUUUCGCCAUAGUAGCUGUUAUCCUAUGGAGGGUAAGAUCAGUCAGAAGAGGAAAGGAAAAUACAAAAGUAGGGAUAACGUUAGUAUAUCAUUCACGUAUAUCCCUGUUCUUUCCUGCUUCAGGACUUUCACAUAUUUUCUCACUGGUGUUGUUAAAUCCUUUGAAAACCAAAUACAGCUGAAGAAAAAGAGGCUGAGAUGAAGCCAUUUGCAUGUCUGGAUCCGGAAGGACACUAAUUAGAAAUGAAAUGCAUGGAUCCUAUAUCAGGUUCAACUAGUGUUAGAGUCAGCAUUAAGGGUAUUAAUAGAUCUGGACCUAUUGCUGCAGUCAAUUAGAGAUGUGGAGUUGAUAGAUGUGUUUGUGUUGAAAAGGCGGGGAAAUUAUGUUGUGCACAACUCAGAGGCUCCAAGUUCUGGAUUUAACCUUGGUACUAUUAAUGUAAGAGAUGUGAUGGUAUCAGCACAAUCAAGUGGAUCUCCUAGUCACAUAACAUGGACAACAGUAGAGUACUAUAGUUACUAGAAAGUAUGCCCGCGCUUUGCGGCGGGAUUUAGCAGAUUGUUGAAGAAGGUAAUUGCUUGUGUAGACAAUAAUAUUGCUGAUUUUAUAAUAUUACAUAGCAGAAUGUUGAUG